rnacentral:rRNA from 1 species
GACGAACGCUGGCGGCGUGGAUUAGGCAUGCAAGUCGAACGGUAUCAUCCUUUCGGGGGUGAGAGAGUGGCGAACUGGUGAGUAACACGUAGGUUAUCUACCCUCAAGACGGGGACAACCCAGGGAAACUUGGGCUAAUACCGGAUGUGAGCAACUUUUAGUUGUUUGAAAGGUGGCGUAAGCUGUCGCUUGGGGAUGAGCCUGCGUCCUAUUAGUUAGUUGGUGAGGUAACGGCUCACCUAGGCAAUGAUAGGUAGGCGGCCUUAACGGGUGGUCGCCCACACUGGGAUUGAGAUACGGCCCAGACUCCUACGGGAGGCAGCAGGUCGAGAAUAGUCUACAAUGGUCGGAAGACUGAUAGUGCGACGCCGCGUGAACGAUGAAUCCUUCGGGUGUAAAGUUCUUUUAUAUGUGAGCAGUGCUUCUUAUAUUAACAGUAUGGGGAGAGAGAUAUUAGCAUAUGAAUAAGCAACGGCUAACUCCGUGCCAGCAGCCGCGGUAAACUCG